rnacentral:lncRNA from 1 species
CUGAACUUAGGCAUUUUCACCUUAGGCAUCUUCAAGUGCCAGUCAGGACCAUGUACAUCAACAUCGGGGGCACUGAUGUCCAUUUUGGGACCUUUGAUGUCAACCUCUGGGCCUUUGAGAUCACCUUCCACUUUGGGCAGGGAAACAUCUACAUCACCCUUCACUUUGGGACCCUUAAGAUGUAAAUCUGGCAUGGAGAUCUUUGGAGCCUUGAUGUUCAUCUCAGGCAUCUUGAACUUAGGACCCUUCAGCUUUGCAUCUGGACCUUCAAUAUUCACAUCAGGAACAUCAAUGUCCACCUUGGGUCCUGAGACAUCAAGGUCAGCCUUGGGCAGGUUCACAUCUACUUCAGGGCCUUCUCCCUUGAAGCCAGGCAUGCUGAACUUGGGCAUUUUCACCUUGGGCAUCUUCAAGUGCCAGUCUGGGCCAUGAACAUCCACAUCUGGAACAUCAAUGUCCACUUUGGGGCCUUUGAUGUCAACUUCAGGGACUUUAAUCUCACCUUCCACUUUGGGCAGAGACAUAUCCACAUCACCCUUCACUUUGGGGCCUUUCAGGUUUAAGUCAAUGUCAGGCAUGGAGAUCUUGGGGGCCUUGAUGUUCAUCUCAGGCAUCUUGAACUUGGGACCCUUCAGUUUUGCAUCUGGUCCUUCAAUAUUCACAUCAGGAACAUCAAUGUCCACCUUGGGUCCUGAGACAUCAAGGUCAACCUUGGGCAGGUUCACAUCCACUUCUGGGCCCUCUGCUUUGAAGCCAGGCAUGCUGAACUUGGGCAUUUUCAUUUUGGGCAUCUUCAGGUGCCAGUCUGGGCCCUGCACGUCCAUAUCUGGAGCAUUGAUGUCCAUUUUGGGACCUUUGAUGUCAACAUCUGGGCCUUUGAGGUCACCUUCCACUUUGGGCAGGGAAACAUCUACAUCACCCUUCACUUUGGGACCCUUAAGAUGUAAAUCUGGCAUGGAGAUCUUUGGAGCCUUGAUGUUCAUCUCAGGCAUCUUGAACUUGGGGCCCUUCAGCUUUGCAUCUGGACCUUCAAUAUUCACAUCAGGAACAUCAAUGUCCACCUUGGGUCCUGAGACAUCAAGGUCAGCCUUGGGCAGAUUUACAUCCACUUCUGGGCCUUCUCCUUUGAAGCCAGGCAUGCUGAACUUGGGCAUUUUUAUUUUGGGCAUCUUCAGGUGCCAGUCUGGGCCAUGGACAUCCACAUCUGGAACAUCAAUGUCCACUUUGGGGUCUUUGAUGUCAACUUCAGGAACUUUAAUCUCACCUUCCACUUUGGGCAGAGACACAUCCACAUCACCCUUCACUUUGGGGCCUUUCAGGUUUAAGUCAAUGUCAGGCAUGGAGAUCUUGGGGGCCUUGAUGUUCAUCUCAGGCAUCUUGAACUUGGGGCCUUUCAGUUUUGCAUCUGGCCCUUCAAUAUUCACAUCUGGAACAUCAAUGUCCACCUUGGGUCCUGAGACAUCAAGGUCAGCCUUAGGCAGGCUCACAUCUACUUCAGGGCCUUCUCCCUUGAAGCCAGGCAUGCUGAACUUGGGCAUUUUUAUUUUGGGCAUCUUCAGGUGCCAGUCUGGGCCAUGAACAUCCACAUCUGGAACAUCAAUGUCCACUUUGGGGCCUUUGAUGUCAACUUCAGGAACUUUAAUCUCACCUUCCACUUUGGGCAGAGACACAUCCACAUCACCCUUCACUUUGGGGCCUUUCAGGUUUAAGUCAAUAUCAGGCAUGGAGAUCUUUGGAGCCUUGAUGUUCAUCUCAGGCAUCUUGAACUUGGGGCCCUUCAGUUUUGCAUCUGGCCCUUCAAUGUUCACAUCUGGAACAUCAAUGUCCACCUUGGGUCCUGAGACAUCAAUGUUAGCCUUAGGCAGGCUCACAUCCACUUCUGGGCCCUCUCCUUUGAAGCCAGGCAUGCUGAACUUGGGCAUUUUCACCUUGGGCAUCUUCAGGUGCCAGUCUGGGCCAUGAACAUCCACAUCUGGAACAUCAAUGUCCACUUUGGGGCCUUUGAUGUCAACUUCAGGAACUUUAAUCUCACCUUCCACUUUGGGUAGAGACACAUCCACAUCACCCUUCACUUUGGGACCUUUCAGGUUUAAGUCAAUAUCAGGAACUUUAAUCUCAC